AAGUCGUAACAAGGUGUCCGUAGGUGAACCUGCGGAAGGAUCAUUAAAGAAUCGCCCCGUUUUUUGAAAUGGGUUCCAUUCCUAAACCGUGUUUAUAUACCUUUGUUGCUUUGGCAGGCCGCCGUUUAGGCGUUGGCUCCGGCUAACUGCGCCUGCCAGAGGACCCAAACUCGUUUAUUUUAGUGAUGUCUGAGUACUAUAUAAUAGUUAAAACUUUCAACAACGGAUCUCUUGGUUCUG
rnacentral:misc_RNA from 1 species